AUCUACCUCCCUGCUAACCUGCUCUCUCUCUCUCUCUUUAUUUUUUAUUUUUUAGUUUUUUUUUGAGGGGGAGUUGGAGAGGGGCGACCGACCCUGCGCAUCUACCUCCCUACUAACAUGCUCUCUCUCUCUUCUUUUUUUUUUGAGGAGAGUUGGAGAGGGGCGACCCUGCGCAUCUACCUCCGUGUUAUCAUAGUUGCUAACCUGCCUUCAAUUGGCUAUAAAUAUCACGGCUACAAGAAGGGAAUCACGUCGUCUCAUCUUUAGACCUGACUCCUGAGGGGUGUGUUGAGGCCCAAGGGAUGAUGGCUCCCCAUACACGCAUACUGCUGCUCAUGUUUCUUGUGUCAAGCAUGGCCAUCAAACCCGUUUUGGCCUCGAGGGAACUUGUUCAAAACGCUCAGCAAAAGGCAAAGGUGGUGGGCAACGAGAACUUCCAUAGAAUUACAAAUGUGGUAAAGAGGAUGCCCGACCCCUACAGCGGCCCACAUUAUCCUGCUCCAAAUGCCUAUCGCGUACCACCCGAAUGCCCACCAAACUGCAGCCCCUAAAAACCAAAGUGCAGAGGAUCAUUUCGGAAUGGUGACCUUAACUAAUUCGAUUUUGUAGAGGAAAAGUAAGAGGGUCGUCUGGUUUCUUGGUGCGAACAUCAAAUCUGCAAGACUCAAUUAGUCUUCUACAAAUGGAUUGUCAAGGUUCUCCUUUCAAGUACCUUGCUUGAUGCAAGCUUUUUUGCUUUGCCGAUUAUCAAAAUAAUAAAUAAGAUGCUAGAACUAAUGCGUCAUGUUGAUGCAUUAGACAUGCUACCUGUAUGGUGAGUGUUGAUGUAUUCGCCCUAUCGAUGGACGAAUCUUUAUGUAUCCUACUAGUGCUAAUUUAUUGGUUUUCAUGAUGUAUG